rnacentral:rRNA from 1 species
CCUAUGGUUGCUGCAGUGGGGAAUAUUGCACAAUGGAGGAAACUCUGAUGCAGCAACGCCGCGUGGAGGAUGACACUUUUUAGAGCGUACACUCCUUUUAUAUAGGAAGAAGAUGACGGUACUAUAUGAAUAAGCGCCGGCUAACUCCGUGCCAGCAGCCGCGGUAAUACGGAGGGCGCAAGCGUUACUCGGAAUCACUGGGCGUAAAGAGCGUGUAGGCGGAUUAAAAAGUCAGAAGUGAAAUCCUAUAGCUUAACUAUAGAACUGCUUCUGAAACUCUUAAUCUAGAAUAUGGGAGAGGUAGAUGGAAUUUCUGGUGUAGGGGUAAAAUCCGUAGAGAUCAGAAGGAAUACCGAUUGCGAAGGCGAUCUACUAGAACAUUAUUGACGCUGAGACGCGAAAGCGUGGGGAGCAAACAGGAUUAGAUACCCGGGUAGUC